CUGUUGGAUUAGACAGGUUACUAGCAUACACAAUCUUGGGUUGUUGAAAUACAAGAACUGUUUGAUUAGACAGGUCACUAGCAUACACAGUCUUGGUUUGUUGAAAUACAAGAACUGUUUGAUUAAACAGGUUACUAGCAUACACAAUCUUGGUUUGUUAAAAUACAAGAAUUGUUUGAUUAGACAGGUUACUAGCAUACACAAUCUUGGUUGUUGAAAUACAAGAACUGUUUGAUUAGACAGGUUACUAGCAUACACAAUCUUGGUUUGUUGAAAUACAAGAACUGUUUGAUUAGACAGGUUACUAGCAUACACAAUCUUGGUUUGUUGAAAUACAAGAACUGUUUGAUUAGACAGGUUACUAGCAUACACAAUCUUGGUUUGUUGAAAUACAAGAACUGUUUGAUUAGACAGGUUACUAGCAUACACAAUCUUGGUUUGUUGAAAUACACGAACUGUUUGAUUAAACAGGUUACUAUUAUUCACAGUUUGGACUUGUUGAAAUACAAGAACUGUUUGAUUAAACAGGUUACUAGCAUACACAAUCUUGGUUUGUUGAAAUACACGAACUGUUUGAUUAAACAGGUUACUAUUAUUCACAGUUUGGACUUGUUGAAAUACAAGAACUGUUUGAUUAAACAGGUUACUAUUAUUCACAGUUUGGACUUGUUGAAAUACAAGAACUGUUUGAUAAAAUUCGAAACAUAUAUAUAUAUAUAUAUACCUACAUACUUCUAAUGUUCAACAUUUACAUAUAUUUUGGGGUUGGUAAAUAUAUUUCCAAUUAGAUGACCUCCCUUUUUUUUUCUUCACGUAUCACUUCUGAACUACUAUUUUAAUUUCUUCCCA